UGGGGAAUUUUGGACAAUGGGCGAAAGCCUGAUCCAGCAAUGCCGCGUGUGUGAAGAAGGCCUUCGGGUUGUAAAGCACUUUUGUCCGGAAAGAAAUCCUUGGCUCUAAUACAGUCGGGGGAUGACGGUACCGGAAGAAUAAGCACCGGCUAACUACGUGCCAGCAGCCGCGGUAAUACGUAGGGUGCAAGCGUUAAUCGGAAUUACUGGGCGUAAAGCGUGCGCAGGCGGUUUGCUAAGACCGAUGUGAAAUCCCCGGGCUCAACCUGGGAACUGCAUUGGUGACUGGCAGGCUAGAGUAUGGCAGAGGGGGGUAGAAUUCCACGUGUAGCAGUGAAAUGCGUAGAGAUGUGGAGGAAUACCGAUGGCGAAGGCAGCCCCCUGGGCCAAUACUGACGCUCAUGCACGAAAGCGUGGGGAGCAAACAGGAUUAGAUACCCUGGUAGUCCACGCCCUAAACGAUGUCAACUAGUUGUUGGGGAUUCAUUUUCCUUAGUAACGUAGCUAACGCGUGAAGUUGACCGCCUGGGGAGUACGGUCGCAAGAUUAAAACUU
rnacentral:rRNA from 1 species